rnacentral:rRNA from 1 species
GACGAACGCUGGCGGCGUGCUUAACACAUGCAAGUCGAACGGAAAGGCCCUGCUCUUGUGGGGUGCUCGAGUGGCGAACGGGUGAGUAACACGUGAGUAACCUGCCCUUGACUUUGUGAUAACUUCAGGAAACUGGGGCUAAUACCGGAUAGGAUCUCCUGCAGCAUGGUGGGGGUUGGAAAGUUUCGGCGGUUGGGGAUGGACUCGCGGCAUAUCAGCUUGUUGGUGGGGUAGUGGCUUACAAAGGGUUUGACGGGUAGCCGGCCUGAGAGGGUGACCGGCCACAAUGGGACUGAGAUACGGCCCAGACUCCUACGGGAGGCAGCAGUGGGGAAUAUUGCACAAUGGGGGGAAGCCUGAUGCAGCGACGCCGGGUGCGGGAUGACGGGCUACGGGUUGAAAACCGCUGUCGACGGUGACGAAGAGUGAGUGACGGUAAUGGGUAAAGAAGCACCGGCUAACUACGUG